rnacentral:lncRNA from 1 species
CUUCAGAAGAGGCUUGCCUCUAGUGUCCUCCGCUGUGGCAAAAAGAAGAUCUGGCUGGACACCAAUGAGACCAAUGAAAUUGGCCAUGCCAACUCCUGUCAGCAGAUCCAGAAGCUGAUCAAAGAUGGGCUGAUUAUCCAUAAGCCUGCGACUGUCCGUUCCUGGGCUCACUGCCAAAAAAGCACCUUGGCCUGCCAGAAGGGCAGGUACAUGGUCAUAGGUAAACAAAAAGGGUACAGCCAAUACUCAAAUGCCAGAGAAGGUAACCUGGGUGAGGAGAAUAGGAAUUCUGCAUCAGCUGCUCAAAGAUACUGUGAAUCUAAAAAGACUGAUCGCCACAUGUAUCACAGCCUGUACCUGAAGGUAAAGGGGAGUGUGUUCAAAAACAGGUGGAUUCUCAUGGAACACAUCCACCUGCUGAAGGCACACAGACCCACAAGAUGCUCCUGGCUGACCAGGCAGAGGCCUGCUGGUCUAAGACCAAGGAAGCAUGCAAGUACCAUGAAGAGCGCCUCCAGGCCAAGAAGGAAGAGAGCAUCAAGACUUUGUCCAAGGAGGAAGAGACGAGGAAAUA